GGCCAUGUGGCCCAAUGGCAAGGCGCUUGACUACGAUUCAUUCGAGAUCGCGGCAUCAAGAGAUUCCAGGUUCGACCCCUGGCAUGGUCA
rnacentral:tRNA from 1 species